AUGUACGUACCAAGCUUGAUGAACGCUCACCAUGAAGCCUUCCGCAGUUCACAAGCUCACCAAGAUAGUUGUGCAGAAUUUUCAGAAUACGCUUCUCUUGCUAUUUUUGUUUGGUGGCUGAGGGAAUUGCAGAUGCAAGCCUGCAACACUCGGUGUCUGGAAAACCUAUCUUGGUCGUUACACAUCAGUUCCUGGGUUCCAGGGGACACGGGCCUUUUGUCAUACUUCCAUGUGUCAGAAGGGCCGGAUCUUGGCAUUCCUGCCCUUACUCCAGAAACAGGAACUGCGGUUAAAAUGUUUUCUGUUGAGCAUACUUGUUCAUCGUGCUGUUUCUGA
rnacentral:rRNA from 1 species